UAUCUUUGUUUAUACGUGUUUCAUUUUUCACAGUUAUAGAAGCUGAUUUUUUUACCCUUUUUUUCCUUUAUCUUAUUUUAUUAAUCUCCCUUUUUUAUUAAUUUUACCAUAUUUUAGCUCAACAUAAUUUAUUUUAUUUUGCUUAUUUGAUUACUCUGUUUUUAGCUAGUUAAAAAAAAAAUAAAUAAAUAAAAAUAAAAAUAAGGAAUAACCCUUACGUUUUAAUUUGAAAUGUUGGUUAGCCAUUUUUUUUUUUUUUUUUGAUUCAAAAAACAAUAUUUAAAAAAAAAAAAAACCAAGUGCCUUAUUAUUAUAUAUAUUUUUUUUUAUAUAAAACAUUUUUAUAUAUUAUUUUUUAAUAUUUAAUAAUGCUAAUAAAAUAAUAAACUACUUUUCAUGAUUUCUAGGUUUGUUGUUUCUUUUUGUGUCAUUUUAUUUUUACAUUUAUUAUGUAUAUAUAUUAAGAUUUUAUUGAAUUUGUUAUACAGAAAUGAGUAAUAUAUUAAAUCACUUCCGUGUUUUAAAGGUAGUUACUGAAGAUAAUCCGUUAGUGACAUUUAAUUUAUUUGUAGCUAGUACGAAAGAUAAUACGAAUAAUGAUGGAUCAUGUAGUGAAAUAUUAUGUGUUGCUGUACUUGAUAAUAUAAUUAAUGGAGAACAUUUAAGAAAAUUUAUGACUAACUUUGGAGAUGUCGUUUUUUUUAAUAUUACUGAGAAUGAAAAUUUAUCAAUAAACUUAAAAAUAUUUGCAUAUUGUUUAUAUAUAAAGUUUAAAGAACAAGCUGCAAUAGAUGUUAUAUUAAGUUAUAGUGUUAAAAUAAAUGAAUACUUUAAAAAUAAUAUACAGGUACCAUAUUUUAUAAAAAUAGAAAAAAACAAUUAUAGUACCUACAUAAAAGAUUAUUAUAACCAGAAUUACAAUUUAUAUAAUGGUAGAAAAAUAAUAGUUAACGAUAUUAUAAAUUCAAAUAAAGUUAACAAAAAAAAAAAAAAUUGUUAAUACAGUUGAUAGUGAUGGCUUUACGGUUGUUCAAAGGUCGUUGAAUAAACCGGAAAUAGUAAAUUCUGUUUUUUCCCA
ensembl:lncRNA